UGCUCAGUAGCACAGCGGUAGUGCAAUCGACUGUUAAUCGAUGGGUCGCAGGUUCGAAUCCUGCCUGAGCAG
rnacentral:tRNA from 2 species